GGACAUGCACGCAGCACGCUUGGUCCUGCAGGACCCAUCCCCAGAAACUCUGCUUUGCAAGCUCAAGACUACACACACAUUGAUACUGUCAUCUCUCGAGACACAGACAUUUAAGACCGCCUUUGACUACCAAACCCUUCCUCCUGUGCAGCCCCUGUGCCUUUAGGGGAACUUAAGCACUGCCGCCCGUGCCAGCCCCUCCACCACGGACUCGUAAGGAACUGCACCAGGAUCUGCAGUGGCUACAGGGAGUUUCGCCUCUCCCUGCUGUGGCUCCAGCUCCCUUUGAAAGCAAGCGGCUUUGCGUGUGACUUUGCAAUCUGAGAAUGUGAACUAGUCGGCAGGACACCGGGGUAAAUAUAAAUCUGGCGCUUACCCACAGGCAGUCCCUCGCAGUCUGACAUCGUGUGAGAAGUCCUCCUCCCCGGGGGCUUAGGAGAGCCGCAGCAGGAGCACAGGCACGGGUCCUUCUGCUUGCAAAGGUUAAAUAAAGGUCCAAGCAGAAGAGGGGGCAGGAGCCAGGAUGUGUCUGUUUAAGGGGGAAGGAAAACAACUAUCUUCUAUUUUUACUGUACUAUCUGAGAACCAGUUUUUGCAAAGCUCUUACUAAAGGCUGUUUGGUGGUGUAUAAUACUGUCGUGAGCACAGAUUUCUCUGUAACUUCAUGACUUCUACUUGUUUAAAAUAUGCCACUUAAACGCUGCCUUAGUAAAGCAUUUUAUGACUGCUCCUACAAC